GGUCUGGGCUUACAUUAGGUGCAUUAUACAUGUUAGCUAUUAGAAUUCUGGGGUCUGGAUCUACGAUAGGUGUUCUAUAUAUCCUAACUACUAGAAUUUUGGCAUCUGGGCGUACAAUAGGUAUUGUAUAGAUGCUACCUACUAGAAUUCUGUGGUCUGGGCAUACAUUACAUGCUGUAAAGAUGCUACCUAUUAGAAUUUUGGUUUCUGGGCCUACGGUAGGUGCUUUAUCGAUGCUAGCUAUUUGACUUCUGGGGUCUGCGAAUACAUUAGGUGCUGUAUAGAUGCUAGCUAUUAGAAUUCUGGGGUCUGGGCCUACAAUAGAUGCUGUAUAGAUGCUACCAAUUAGAAUUCUGCGGUCUGUCCAUACAUUAGGUGCUGUAUAGAUGCUACCUAUUAGAAUUCUGUGGUCUGGGUAUACAUUAGGUGCUGUAUAGGUUACCUAUUAGAAUCCUUGCGUCUGGGCAUCCAUUAGGUGUUUUAUAGAUGCUAGCUAUUAGAAUUCUGGGGUCUAGGCCUACAAUAUGAGAGUAUAGGUGCUACCUACUUGAAUUCUGUGGUCUGGGCAUACAUUAGGUGGUAUAUAGAUGCUACCUAUUAGAAUUAAGGGGUCUGGGCUUACAUUAGGUGCUUUAUACAUGUUAGCUAUUAGAAUUCUGGGAUCUGGACCUACGAUACGUGCUCUAUAUAUCCUACCUACUAGAAUUUUGGGGUCUGGGCAUACAUUAGGUGCUGUAUAGAUGCUAACUAUUAGAAUUUUGUGUUCUGGGCAAACAUUAGGUGCUAUAUAGAUGCUACCUACUAGAAUUCUGGGGCCUGGGCAUACUUAGGUGCUGCAUAGAUGCUACCUACUAGAAUUCUGGGGUCUGGGCCUACAAUAGAUGCUGUAUAGAUGCUACCUACUAGAAUUCUGUUGUCUGGGUAUACAUUAGGUGUAGGAAAGGUGCUACCUAUUAGAAUUCUGGUGUCUGGGCAUGCAUUAGGUGCUGUAUAGAUGUUAGCCAAUAGAAUUCUGGGGUCUAGGCCUACGAUAUGUGCUGUAUAGGUGCUACCUACUUGAAUUCUGUGGUCUGGGCAUACAUUAGGUGGUAUAUAGAUGCUACCUAUUAGAAUUAAGGGGUCUGGGCUUACAUUAGGUGCAUUAUACAUGUUAGC